AUUCAGUGAACCCAUCGAAUCUUUGAACGCACCUUGCGCCUUUUGGUAUUCCAAAAGGCACACCUGUUUGAGUGUCAU
rnacentral:rRNA from 1 species